rnacentral:lncRNA from 1 species
UGCUUUCUCUGUUCAGGCUGCUGGGUGACAUUUCUAUGUCUCCCCUUCAACGGUGAAAUAUUUCAGUGGUUGUCCAUCACCUAUGGGAGUCUGACAUGGCAUAAUCAGGCCACUGGGGCAUUGCUAGUUGUGCUGUCCCUGAUAUUCACCGUGGUAGGCAGUUUCUGAAAUGGCUCCCAGUGAUCUCCAACUCCUGAAAUUCACACUCUGUGUAAUCCCCUCCCUUUGAGUGUGGGCUAGACCUGGUGGCCAAAGUGAUAGGAUUUCACUUCUGAUGUUAGGCUAUGAAAGGCUGUGACCGCUCUCUCUGCCUCUUCUCUCUCACUUGAAGCAAACUGACAUGCUGAAAGCUGCCCUAUGGAGAGGCUCAUGUGGCAAGGAACAGAGGGUGGCUUCUGGCCAACACCCAGUGAGGAACUCAGGCCCUCAGUCAAACAGCCUGCAAGGAACUGAACCCUGCCAAUAACCAGGCAGUGUCAGCCCCCGGCCAAUGACCACCAUGGACCUCCCUGUAGUUGAACAAAGUUGGGUUUGCUGACUGGUGGCAGUGAGGGAGAAUGCACACCACAGGGAGCUGUGCAGUGUCUCAGUAAGAAGGAGCCAUCCCGUGAGGCCGUUACUGCAAACAAGCUGAAAAUCCUGCUUUGUUUCUUUUGGACACAACAUGCUUUCCUUCAGCUUCAGUAGACGAUGAGGCCAGCACCACAUGGGCUAGAUGUACAUGAGAUGUGAGCAACCACACUUCCCCUCUGACGGGGACAGACAGCAUCACAGGACAUGAAGUUCUAAGAGGUUCAGUGACUUGUCUAAGAUUAAACAGCUAUGAAUGGAGAACUGGAGGCAAAUGCCUCAUCAUCUCUCACCUGGGCAACUGCAACAAUGAGCAGUUUGUGUCUGUGCCUGCAUCCAUCCUUCCAUCCUGUACUCCAGCAGCAGCCAGGGUGGUCUUUCAAAAAUGCAAAGCUGAUAAUGUUACUCCCCUGCUGUAAACCUUCCAGCGGUUUCCUAUUGCCUUCAGAAUAAAAUACGAAUCAUCUGGCCUC